rnacentral:ncRNA from 1 species
GAAAAAGCGAUGAUAAAGAGGAGUAAAAUACAAAUAGAAAUAAGAGAUGAAAACCCGUGGCUGAAAAGUUUUCUAACACUAAUGUAUUUGAAGGUAGCUUUGGAGCUGAUAUACUGAAGUAUAUAUUAUGUGUAAGUAUAUUCCGUAAACAAUCGGUUAAUUGUAAUUAAGAGCAUGCAUAAGCAUGAAUUAAGGUGGUACCGCGAACACAGUCUUCGUCCUUAAA